rnacentral:rRNA from 1 species
UACGUAGGCAGCGAGCGUUGUUCGGAAUUACUGGGCGUAAAGAGCGUGUAGGCGGUGCUCUAAGUUCGGUGUGAAAUCUCCCGGCUUAACUGGGAGGGUGCGCCGGAAACUGGAGUGCUCGAACGUGGGAGAGGAAAGCGGAAUUCCUGGUGUAGCGGUGAAAUGCGUAGAUAUCAGGAGGAACACCUGCGGUGUAGACGGCUUUCUGGACCAUUGUUGACGCUGAGACACGAAAGCGUGGGGAGCAAACAGG